AUGGAUAAUUGUAGUUGUGAAGGAAAAGACUCCUUAGCUGCAGAUCAGAGCACUCUGAAUGCAGUAGUCAAUAAUUUUAGUGAUAGCAAUGCAAAUAUUUUGGUAAGCUCCUCAAACGCUGAAAUAAUAUCGGCAUCAUCACCAAGGAAUAUUAAUCAGUUAGUUUUAAGUGGAGACGAACAGAAUUUAACCAAUUGUCUCCUCAAUCCUCAAGCUGAUGUGCUGAACAAUAAUCCACGUGUAAUCAUCUAUGAACCAAAUCCAUUUGAAGAAGCAUUUCAGUCUCAGAGCCCUGUUAUUGACUUCUCGAGUGAUCAAAAGACUGAUAAAGUUAUAGAUUUGAAGUCAAGAAGUAUGUUAGAUCCUCCCAUAUCAUCUCCGAGUGGACCGAGGUCAUUACAAGAAGAGCUUGAAAGCGAGGAUCAAAGUUAUUUUAGCCACACAAACCUGAGAAAAACUCCGCCUCAAACUCCAGGAUCCAUUUCUCCAAGUCCAGAACGAGAAUUGGAAGAGCUAUUAUCUGUCGUCCAGCCUUAUAAUGAUUGCAACCCAUCGAAACAUGACUCUUUCUCAGAGUCAAGUGUCCUUUAUGAUAAUAUAAUUAAUUUUCCACGAAGAUUGAGUAGUUUCUGUGAAUCACUGGAUCAUGUCAUCGAUUCCCUGGAAAAAAUCAUGCAUCCUCUCGAACAAACCUGCGAUUCAGCAACUGAGUCUGACGCUGCCUCAACAUCUGGCAACUUUUGGAAGAACAAAUCAAUUGAGCAUCAGUAUGAAGAAUUGUGCACCUUAGGAUUCCAGUUACAGGAGAUCGGUAUUGAUUUGGAAAUCAUGUCUAAAGAGGAAUUCAAAGCCCUGGAUUCCAGUCAAAGAUGUGCUCUUCAGUGCACAGUUGUUCGUCAAGCAUUGAAUGCCUAUCUAAUGCAGUUAAACUCUGAUGAGACUAAUGCUGAGCUAAAAUCAUGCAUCAGGCCUGAAGUUCAGAAAGUGUCCGAUUUACUUGACACAAAUGAAGAUGCUCAAAAAUUAGCAGCUGUUGUAAAGCAGAUGACAUUACUACUUCAACACCAGUCUCAACUAAGUGAACAGCUACGUGAUUUAACAGCAAGUGGAAAGCCUUUGUGCGUAGAGCUUUGCGACAAAAUCUUCCGACGGGUGCGAGGCCUCGAGCUACUAGUGCAGAAUAACGCAAGAGAGUUGGCUGAAAUGAGACAACGACUUCAAGCAACAAGUUCAUCCUCGAGCAAAAACAGCUGA
rnacentral:lncRNA from 1 species